UGGGGAAUAUUGGACCAUGGGCGCAAGCCUGAUCCAGCAAUGCCGCGUGAGUGAUGAAGGCCUUAGGGUUGUAAAGCUCUUUCGCACGCGACGAUGAUGACGGUAGCGUGAGAAGAAGCCCCGGCUAACUUCGUGCCAGCAGCCGCGGUAAUACGAAGGGGGCUAGCGUUGUUCGGAAUUACUGGGCGUAAAGGGCGCGUAGGCGGCCUGUUUAGUCAGAAGUGAAAGCCCCGGUCUCAACCUGGGAAUAGCUUUCGAUACUGGCAGGCUUGAGUUCCGGAGAGGAUGGUGGAAUUCCCAGUGUAGAGGUGAAAUUCGUAGAUAUUGGGAAGAACACCGGUGGCGAAGGCGGCCAUCUGGACGGACACUGACGCUGAGGCGCGAAAGCGUGGGGAGCAAACA
rnacentral:rRNA from 1 species